GCCCAGUAUGGAGGGCAAAAUAACAUUCCCGUUCCUUAUAUUUGGCUGUAGCUUCAAUUUAGAGACAUGCCCUACCACCAUAUUUUCUCACAUAUAAUACAUGCACCCUUUUCUCCAAAAUCAGUUCCCCCACCCCGAAUUGGGGUGCAUGCACUAACCGGGGCUUUCCUCCGUUUUCGCAGCCCUGAAGACUCUUUGGCUCUUUUCCAACUCACAGAUCCACCCAUAGAAACCAGUCUUCAGCAGCACCCAGGGUUUCAGCUUUAGUUAAGCAGGAAAGGGAGGCAGAGAGAGUCAGUGGAAGUUUGGAAAGAGGGGGGCUGCAAGGUCAGAGCAGAAGACGACUAAGUAGGCAGGGGCAUGCCUGCCGCAGCUCCAGCUGUCUGCCUGGAAGAGCUAACACGAAGAGAAGAAAUGGAGACUAUCCCUCAAAGAGUCCCAGACUCUUUGCUCAUUGCGGGACCUCCUAUAAUGAACGGGGAUCACCGGCUGUUAAACAUUUAGUACGUCACAACCUGCCACGGAG